AUGCCCGCUCCUCUUUCCCGUCCUCUCUCGCUCGUCGCUGCUGCCGUCGGGCUGAUGGUUGAGAAACAAUCCGAAUCCAUCCAUUGCUUUGUGCUGCCUUUACCCUCUUAACAUUGUCGCAAUACUCUUCCCAAGAUGAAUCGUUUUGGCAUAUCCCAUUUCCGAGAGGACUUCGAUGCUGGUUAGACAUCGAUUCCUUUCCGCAGAGAAUUAAGAUGUCGGCUGCGAUCUUGGAAGCUCGUAAAUCCACUUUUGUCAAGUAGGUCCUCGAUGGGCGAAUGUUUUAAGACUCAAAACCAAAGAUCCUUACUGGGGAUUUGAAGCUGAGGAAGAGGUGACUGAAUGCUGGUGCAAGACUUCAAUGGUUUUUGAAUCUAAGGAAGAGAUGACCAGAAGUUGGGUGCAAGUCUUCAAUGGUAUGCAGCAAUUCCCAGGAUGGAGUGUGUUCACACUUGAAACUUGCUUUUGACCUGCAGCACUGACUGGAUGGUGGCUGAAUUUCCUGAAUUUUUGCUUUGCAAUUGAUACAUCUGUUGAAGAGUGAUGUGCUAAUAAAUAUUGCAAACUGAAAUUGUUUGGAAUUCAGAAUCUGUUCUUCUAGAACUGUAUAACAAUCUUGCAUUAAUUCUCUUGCCUUCCAGAGCAGUAUAGCAAGCUCAUUGAAAGGCUGAGACCAUGGCAAUAGAAAUUGUUGUUUUUUGAAACUUUGAAUAAGAACUUAAUACUUCUACCA